CCGGCCACACUGGGACUGAGACACGGCCCAGACUCCUACGGGAGGCAGCAGUGGGGAAUAUUGCACAAUGGGCGAAAGCCUGAUGCAGCGACGCCGCGUGAGGGAUGACGGCCUUCGGGUUGUAAACCUCUUUCGACAGGGACGAAGCGCAAGUGACGGUACCUGUAGAAGAAGCACCGGCCAACUACGUGCCAGCAGCCGCGGUAAUACGUAGGGUGCGAGCGUUGUCCGGAAUUACUGGGCGUAAAGAGCUUGUAGGCGGUUUGUCGCGUCGUCCGUGAAAACUUGGGGCUCAACCCCAAGCUUGCGGGCGAUACGGGCAGACUUGAGUACUGCAGGGGAGACUGGAAUUCCUGGUGUAGCGGUGAAA
rnacentral:rRNA from 1 species